rnacentral:misc_RNA from 1 species
CCGAGUUAGGGUGCUUCUCGCGCCCGACCUCCAACCCUUUGUCUACCUGACCAGAUGUUGCUUCGGCAGGCCCGCCGCCCCGCGAGGGGCAGCCACCGGGGGUCCUUUAUCGGCCCCGGGUCCGCGCCUGUCGAUGGCCCUUCUAUAAACUCUUGCUUAAAACGUGUCGUCUGAGUAAAACAAACAAAAUAAAAACA